GUGGGGAAUUUUGGACAAUGGGCGCAAGCCUGAUCCAGCAAUGCCGCGUGCAGGAAGAAGGCCUUCGGGUUGUAAACUGCUUUUGUACGGAACGAAACGGUCCUGGUUAAUACCUGGGGCUAAUGACGGUACCGUAAGAAUAAGCACCGGCUAACUACGUGCCAGCAGCCGCGGUAAUACGUAGGGUGCGAGCGUUAAUCGGAAUUACUGGGCGUAAAGCGUGCGCAGGCGGUGCUGUAAGACAGGCGUGAAAUCACCGGGCUCAACCUGGGAAUUGCGCUUGUGACUGCAGUGCUGGAGUACGGCAGAGGGGGAUGGAAUUCCGCGUGUAGCAGUGAAAUGCGUAGAUAUGCGGAGGAACACCGAUGGCGAAGGCAAUCCCCUGGGCCUGCACUGACGCUCAUGCACGAAAGCGUGGGGAGCAAACAGGAUUAGAUACCCGAGUAGUCC
rnacentral:rRNA from 1 species